AUUGAACGCUGGUGGCAUGCUUUACACAUGCAAGUCGAACGGCAGCACGGGCUUCGGCCUGGUGGCGAGUGGCGAACGGGUGAGUAAUGCAUCGGAACGUGCCCAUUUGUGGGGGAUAACUACGCGAAAGCGUGGCUAAUACCGCAUACGCCCUGAGGGGGAAAGCGGGGGAUUCUUCGGAACCUCGCGCAAUUGGAGCGGCCGAUGUCAGAUUAGCUUGUUGGUGAGGUAAAGGCUCACCAAGGCGACGAUCUGUAGCGGGUCUGAGAGGAUGAUCCGCCACACUGGGACUGAGACACGGCCCAGACUCCUACGGGAGGCAGCAGUGGGGAAUUUUGGACAAUGGGGGCAACCCUGAUCCAGCCAUGCCGCGUGAAUGAAGAAGGCCUUCGGGUUGUAAAGCUCUUUCAGCCGGGAAGAAAGCGCACUCUCUAACAUAGGGUGUGGAUGACGGUACCGGAAGAAGAAGCACCGGCUAACUACGUGCC
rnacentral:rRNA from 1 species